UACGUAGGGUGCGAGCGUUAAUCGGAAUUACUGGGCGUAAAGUGUGCGCAGGCGGUUGAGCAAGUCGAGUGUGAAAGCCCCGGGCUUAACUUGGGAAUUGCGCUCGAAACUACUUGACUGGAGUGUGGCAGAGGGAGGUGGAAUUCCACGUGUAGCGGUGAAAUGCGUAGAGAUGUGGAGGAACACCAAUGGCGAAGGCAGCCUUCUGGGCCAACACUGACGCUCAUGCACGAAAGCGUGGGGAGCAAACAGG
rnacentral:rRNA from 1 species